rnacentral:rRNA from 1 species
AGUGGCGAACGGGUGAGUAAUAUAUCGGAACGUGCCCAGUAGCGGGGGAUAACUACUCGAAAGAGUAGCUAAUACCGCAUACGCCCUGAGGGGGAAAGAGGGGGAUCGCAAGACCUCUCGUUAUUAGAGCGGCCGAUAUCAGAUUAGCUAGUUGGUGAGGUAAAAGCUCACCAAGGCCACGAUCUGUAGCGGGUCUUAGAGGACGAUCCGCCACACUGGAACUGAGACACGGUCCAGACUCCUACGGGAGGCAGCAGUGGGGAAUCUUGGACAAUGGGCGCAAGCCUGAUCCAGCAAUGCCGCGUGCGUGAAGAAGGCCUUCGGGUUGUAAAGCGCUUUUGUUCGGGAGGAAAUCCUAGUGGCUAAUAUCCAUUGGGGAUGACAGUACCGGAAGAAUAAGGACCGGCUAACUACGUGCCAGCAGCCGCGGUAAUACGUAGGGUCCAAGCGUUAAUCGGAAUUACUGGGCGUAAAGGGUGCGCAGGUGGUUGAUUAAGUGUGAUGUGAAAGCCCCGGGCUCAACCUGGGAAUUGCAUUGCAAACUGGUCAACUAGAGUAUGGCAGAGGGGGGUGGAAUUCCGCGUGUAGCAGUGAAAUGCGUAGAGAUGCGGAGGAACACCGAUGGCGAAGGCAACCCCCUGGGCUAAUACUGACACUCAUGCACGAAAGCGUGGGGAGCAAACAGGAUUAGAUACCCUGGUAGUCCACGCCCUAAACGAUGUCUACUAGUUGUUGGGGAAUUCGUUCCUUAGUAACGCAGCUAACGCGUGAAGUAGACCGCCUGGGGAGUACGGCCGCAAGGCUAAAACUCAAAGGAUUGACGGGGCCCGCACAGCGUGAUGAUGUGA